rnacentral:rRNA from 1 species
CAGCCGUAAACUAUGCGCGUUAGGUGUAUCGGUGACCACGAGUUACCGAGGUGCCGAAGGGAAACCGUGAAACGUGCCGCCUGGGAAGUACGGUCGCAAGGCUGAAACUUAAAGGAAUUGGCGGGGGAGCACCGCAACGGGAGGAGCGUGCGGUUUAAUUGGAUUCAACACCGUAAACUCACCAGGGAAGACUGUUACAUGAAAGCCGAGUUGAAGACUCUGCUAGAUUUUUCAGAGAGGAGGUGCAUGGCGUCAGUGACU